GAAGGUUCAGCACCUAAUUAAUCCUUUUAAACGUUUUAUUACGGGUAAUUAUACAUUGCCAAAAUUUUCGGUUAGUCGGUAACUAGAUAUGUCAAGAUACCCAUCAUUGUUUUCUAUAACGACCGCGGUAGCGCUAUUUCGGUAAUUGAAGAUACAAAGCCGAAUCCUCUCUCUAUGACCAUCAGUAGAUAUUCCCUCCCUCUAUCACAAUCGCUCAAGUAGCCAAAACCAAUUAGAAUUAUAUAUACACCUGCAUUACAUUGCAUUUUCUAUCAAUUAGAAAUAGUUUACUUUUUCCUUCAAUGUACAUCCACUUCGUAAAAGAAAUUCUCGCCAAUACAGUUAACAUCUCUAAACUCUAAUAUUAUUUUAUAGACGUAGUAUUCUGUUACAUUGCUAUCAUUUGUUACAAUUUCAUUAACGCGUAAUCUUUUCGUACUGUAAGGUAUGAGAACACACGACACUUCAUAAACAUUAUUCAGCUGAAAUUAUGCGUACAUAACAAAAGCUCUACGAAAGAUAUAAUUUUAGACAUUAAUAAUGUCCUUCGAUGUUGAAGCAUCAUUAAAUUCGGCACUCCAUAAAAAGGGAAACGAGGAAAAGCUCGGGAUGGUAGUCGAUGAUAGUUGAUGGCCGUCGUUGUAGCCACGGUUAGUUUGUAUCGAGUCUGUAUCGAUUCUGUAUCGACUGUGUAUCGAGUUUGUAUCGAGGCUGUAUCGAAACAGUAGCAGUUUAGUUCAGUACGCAUUAGAUCUGUAUCGUGAUUGCUUGAGUUCGACGUGCGUCACGUUACGACUUAAAACGAUGCGUAUUCGAUAUCGAAAUAAACACUUUUGAAGUUAAACACCGGAGUACUAACAGCCAACACGUCCUCCACCUCGAUGCUAUUCUUUACGCAAGCACAUUGGAAUGAAGUUUUGAUAAUUAAAUUAUAAUUUUUCUUAAAGAUAUGAUGCAUAUACUUUAACUUUAACAAUUUACUUUAAUAAUUAAUAAUAUAAUUCAAGGUGAUAUAUUUUAAAUCACGCGACAUUUUGAGGUUAAAGAUUCUAAAAAAUUAUAGAGAAACGGAUCGGCAUGUUAAAAAGAGCAUCUAGUAAUGGUAUGUUUAUAUUAACGAAGACACUGGCGCAUCAAAAACGAAGACAAGAACGUUGUGAAAGCAAAAGAAGUGUGAAACAAGACAAACGAAAAAGAUCAUUUACUUCAAACGCGAAGCCAGUGACGUCAGGAGCGUCACCUUUGAAGAAGUAUAACCCACUGGUCGAGGAACGCAACCACGCAGCCUUCAAUCAUCAAUUACACGCAGUCCAACAAUUUCAAUCACACAACCAAACGAGUGUCCGUGGGGGAGGAACGCCUUCUUUGCUAAGCAUCCACGCAACCUUACGUCAACAAUUACAGGGUUAACUUCCACGAGGACACAUCUUACACGUCAAACGAGACAUACACGGCGAUGAACAUGUUCAAUCAACGAUCAAACAAUUAACAAUUAAGAUGAAAAGAUAACAAUCAAGUUUUGUGAGCUAGUAUGCUUAUUACGAGACCUUUCGUACUUCGCAGCUUCAGAUAGACUGACUGAUUCUUUUGUUCGAAACCACAGAUUCUUUCCUUUGUUUCCCUUCGAUAUCCCUACUACACACGCGUUUAUUGGAUGUACCGCGGCGGUCGCCGCGUAUGCGUUCUUCCGAGAAGUCGGCGAAAGAAACGGAGGGAUAUCGAUGGUACAUUGAGCAUGUCGGUAUUGCGCUUUGACGGCAUAGCUCUUUGUACCGCGAAGCCGUCAGAAAGUUCCGUGGUCGAUGCCGCCGCAAAUUAAAGUUUCUUUGAACAACUUGACUAGAGAAAUGAUUGGUAAAACGUAACACAUCUUACGAUACAGAUUAUUGGAAGUUGGUCGAUAAACUAAAUUUGGUCAGACGUAGCAGCAACUUGAGGUGAUUUUGCGUGUAUGUGACGAGUGUCUUGUAGAUAAGAUAAAAUGAUUUUAUACAAGAUUUUAAUAAUCCAUACAUAUGUUUACAUGUUUGAAUACAUUUUUAAAUAUU
rnacentral:lncRNA from 1 species